UACGAAGGGGGCUAGCGUUGCUCGGAAUUACUGGGCGUAAAGGGCGCGUAGGCGGCCUGGCAAGUGGAAGGUGAAAUCCCUCGGCUUAACCGAGGAACUGCCCUCCAAACUGCUUGGCUUGAGUCCGGGAGAGGUGGGUGGAAUUCCCAGUGUAGCGGUGAAAUGCGUAGAUAUUGGGAGGAACACCAGUGGCGAAGGCGGCUCACUGGACCGGAACUGACGCUGAGGCGCGAAAGCGUGGGGAGCAAACGGG
rnacentral:rRNA from 1 species